GUCAAAAGCCAUGAAAAGAUUCACGAGGAAUCACAGCAUUAUAUCUGGCAGUCUGUUUUGAUCCUUAAAGGGAAGUCAAAAUGAAUGAUCUGAAUGCCCGAAGGGAUCAAAUGAAUAUUAGAGCAGCUGGAAAUGGUGGAGAUGAUAAAUGUAACUGGAACUGGCCUCUGCUGAUUUCACUGUCUGGCUUAGCAUUGUACCAAUGGUUCACGCACAGGAGAAUAAGAAAUGAAAUGGAUUGCUUGAGGAGAAGCAUUGAGAAAGAUAGAAGGGAGGACAAAGCAAUGGUUGUGAUUCACGAGAUCCGCAGGUUGUUACAUGCUAGACAAGACAUCAUUUGUAGCAAUACUGUCCCAUAUUUUGCUCAGCGGACCAGGGAGCAAGAGUUAUCCAGCAUGGCCUCCAGUGACCCUAUA